rnacentral:snoRNA from 1 species
UUGCAGUGAUGAUAUGUCUUGCGCUUAAGUGGUGACCGGGGGGUCUCACAGACGUCUGAUGAUAUACGGACGAAAAAAUGCGCAUCUGAGCAU